rnacentral:rRNA from 1 species
AUUGAACGCUAGCGGCAUGCCUUACACAUGCAAGUCGAACGGUAACGCGGGGCAACCUGGCGACGAGUGGCGAACGGGUGAGUAAUGCAUCGGAACGUGCCUGGUAGUGGGGGAUAACUGCUCGAAAGAGCAGCUAAUACCGCAUACGACCUGAGGGUGAAAGGGGGGGAGUCGCAAGACCUCUCGCUAUCAGAGCGGCCGAUGUCGGAUUAGCUAGUUGGUGGGGUAAAGGCCCACCAAGGCGACGAUCCGUAGCUGGUCUGAGAGGACGACCAGCCACACUGGGACUGAGACACGGCCCAGACUCCUACGGGAGGCAGCAGUGGGGAAUUUUGGACAAUGGACGCAAGUCUGAUCCAGCCAUGCCGCGUGCGGAA